AAAGCUGGAAGACAAAAAGACAAAACUGUUAGAAUGGAAAUGAGUCACUGUUUUCCAAGACAAGUGUUUUCCAAGGUACAGGCAGGAGGUGACACAAAGAGGCAUGGGGAGAUACUUGCGGUGAUAAAAUAUUUUGCAUAUUGAUUAAUAUGGUGAGUACACUACUAUAUGUAUUUGUCAAUACUUGCAGAACUUUCACUAAAAAUGAUGAAUGGUAUACUGUGAUGAUUGUGACUUAAUACACAUGUUACACAGCCACUGACACGGGCCCCAAGUUAAUGAUGGUCCCUAGUGUUGGUAUAAAUGCAAAAGCUCUGCAGUGUCCUGUGGGCAGGAACAGAACACGACUGUGAUACACACCCUUCCAAGGGGUGCUGGACACCUGGGGAGGUGGGCCAAGGGACAGUGGGACAAGGCCAGGCCUCCUGGGGGAGAUCAGUUUGGUCACAGGACCCUCCCCCGAAGGCAAGAGCUUUCAGGUAAAGGGCUCAGGGCUGAUGCCGACCAAUGAGAUGGGCCCUCAUGGAUGGAAUGGCAGUGACAUCAUAGUUCCGAUGCUGCCUGGCACCCACUCUGCUUCGUGUCCGAAGGCAGUUGGGAGCUCUUGUGGUCUCUGACCUGCUCUGGAGCUUGCUUGUCUGUCCUGUUCUGACCCACCAUCCCCCUCAUCCACCUUGUCACUGUUUCUAGAGGAGAGGCGCACCUCCAACAGCGAGAGCUCAGAAAGGUGAGCAAGAGAGGCACCCUCAUCCCUAAUGGGCACCUUGGGCACAGAGGCCACUUGGCAGGUGACCCCCUUCCCCAUGAGCUGUGGCUGAGCUGACACCAACACUGGAGCACAGAAGGCAGUUGGAGGCCCUUGUGGUUGCUGACCUGCUCUGACGCUUGCUCGCCUGCCCGCCCUGCUCUGACCCACCUGAUUCCCACACCUUCCUGGUUGACUUGUUAUCAUUUUGAGAGGAGAGGCCCACAUCCAACCGCGAGAGUCAGAAAGGUGAGCAUAAGCUGCACCCUUGACCCUACCAACACUUCAAGGAAGGAGAGGCGACUGGUUGGUGUGUGGACCACUCAGGUCUGGGCCUGAGGUGACAGGGACCUCCAGCACCAAGCCCCUGAGCAUGUAGCCCACUCAGGGCUCUGUGGGGUGUGGGCUGCUGCCAGAGAUGCCUGAGUCCCUGUGAAGAGCCUGAGGUGAGAGCUCAGAACCCAGGCCCAGUAAAGGAAGAGAGGGAGAAGGAAGGAGGAGAGAUGAUGCAGGAAGAGGAAGAGGAGGAUGUGGAGGAAGAGAGGUCUAGCCAAGGAGAGAUGAAAGUAGGAGGAAGGGUGGAUACAGGAGGUGAAUUAGGAGGAGUUAAAAAGACAGGAGUGAGAGCAAGAAGAGUAAGGAUGAAGGAAUUAGAGCAGGUAGAUGGAAGAGGAGUAGAUGAAGGAGGGGGAGAACUAAGCAGGAGAAGAUGGGUGGAUGGAAGUGAUGGAUAGAAGAGGAAGAAGGAGAGGUGGAGGAGGGGGAAGAGGAGAAAUAGGGGACCCAGGCCAGCCCAGAGCAGGUGGUACUGCAAUCCAGAUGGGGUUGCUUCAGUGGUGUAGUGAGCCCCAGGUUUGAUGCUUGGACCCUGGGUACCUCAGGGAGCUGUGUGAGGCCUGGGUGGAAAGUCUCUGGCCUGAUUUAAGUCCAUUGGCAAGGGAUUAGUGUCCACAUCACUACUGUCCUGGAACCCCUAAUAGGGAGGGGGAGAGGAGGAGUGAAGAAAGGUCAUGGUCGGGGACCAAGUGUUUCUGAGGGGCCCUGUGCCUGGGUUCAUUGCCUGCCACUACAGCUGGCACAGUCACCUUCCACUGCCAGCUGACUGUCCUGUCCCUGGAGGAGAUGACCUCCUUGGUUAUGGAUUCAGUGCUAACACUGACCUCUGACCUUGGUCCUAUUUUGGGUGGAUUGGCAGCAACCUCCAAGUUCAACCCUCUGCAUAGCACCCUCUCUGCUUUGUGUCCCCAGGCAGUUGGAGGCCCUUGUGGUCUCUGACCUGCUCUGACACUCGCCUGCCCUCCCUGUUCUGACCCACCGACCUGAACUUGGGUCCAUUUAUACAGCAGAGACCAGCUCUAACAGCAAGAGGCCAGAAAGGCUACUGGAGUCCCUCAGAGUUGCUGAUCUGCUCUGACACUCACUCGCCUGCCCACCCUGCUCUGACCCACCUGAUCCUCACACCCGCCUGGUUACCUUUUCACCAUUUUGAAAGGAGAGGCCCAAGUCCAACAGUGAGAGUCAGAAAGGUGAGCUUGAACUUCUCCCUCACCCACUACCAACACCUCAAGGACAGAGGCCACUGGUGGGUGCCUGCACCACUCAGGUCUGGGGCUGAGGUGACAAGGACUGCCGGCACCAACCACUGAGCAUGCAGCACCCCUCAGGGCCAGAAUGCCCAAGUCCCUUUGAGGAGCCUGAGGUGACAGCUCAGACUCCUGGCCCAGAAGGGAAGAGGGGGAGGAGGAAGGAGGGGAGAGAAUCCAGGUGCUGGAGGAGGAAGAGGGGAAGGAUGGGGAGGAAGGAAGGUCUAGCUGGACCAGAAUUGGAUGGAGAAAGGAGGAAGGAUGAGGUGAUUGAAGAGGAGUAUAAAAUACAGGAGGGUGAGGUAGUAAAAGACAGAUGGUUGGGGGGAGGGGAAUAGCAGGAGGAAGGAAGCGGAGGAAAGGUGGGGAGAUGGAGGUGGAUAGAAGGGAAUGCAGGUGAGAUGGAGAGGGGAGUGAAAGAGAAGCAGGGUGUUCAGACCAGCCCAGGGUCUGCUGUAUCGAGUUCCAAAUGAUGUUUCUUAAAAGUUGUACCUGAGGGAGCACCUUGUUUGAUGCUGUGACCCAGGGAACCUCAGGCAGCUGGGUGAGGUCUGGGUGGGAAAUCUCUGUCCUGAUUCAAAUCCAAAGGCAAAAACUGAGGGUCCACAUCACUAUCUUCCCAGAAACCUCUAAGAUGGAGGAGUGAAGGAAGGUCAGGGUUAGGGACCGGGUGUUCCUGAGUUUUCAUGUGCCCGAGUCUAUCACCUGUCAGGCUACAUCUGUCUGUGGUCAUCCUCCCCUGCUGGGUUACAGCCCUGUCCCUGAAAAGGAUGACCUCCUUCAUUUUGGGCUCAGUACUGACCCUUACUUCUGACCUUAGCCCAAUAUUGUGUGGAAUUAGAAUGAACUUGCAGCUGCCUGGAACCCACUCUGCAUCAUGUCCCCAGGCAGGUGGAGGUUCUUGCGGUCACUGACCUGCUCUGAAGCUUGCUCAUCUUCUGGCCCUGAUCGAACCCACCUGAUCUCCACACCCACCUGCUUACCUUCUUACCAUCUUGAGAGGAGAGGCCCACAUCCAACAGGGAGUGUCAGAAAGACAGUUGGAGGCCCUCGUGGUCACUGACCUGCUCUGACGCUCACUCACCUGCCUGCCCUGCUCUGACCCACCUGAUCCCCACACCCGCCUGGUUACCUCGUUACCAUCUUGAGAGGAGAGGCCCACAUCUAACAGCGAGAGUCAGAAAGGCAGUUGGAGGCCCUGUGGUCUCUGACCUGCUCUGACACUCGUCCAUUUCUCCACCUCUCCCACCCCGUCCCUGGGUGCAUUUCCACCAAAGAGGCACAGAACCAGCAGCGAGAGGACACAAAGGUAAGUGUGACUUGCUCCCUCACCACAUACUG